rnacentral:piRNA from 1 species
UCCACUGGAAUAAAGUCUCUUUCCUCCAAAU